UAUAUAUUAAGACGUGCAAUCGGUGUAUAACAUAUUUGAUAUAAUAUUAUGUACAUUAUUAAAUUAGCAGACUCUGUCUGCGUGUCCGACAAUUUUUACUUUGUGAAAAUGCUAAGUGCAAUUAUUGCGUUUUUUUUUUAGAAAUGUUUUAGGAAAUUGAACGAAUAAAAAGAAAACUAGAAGAGCGCAGAGAGUAAAAGAAUCUCAGAAUCGUGUAAACUUCAUAGUUCCUGUAUUAAAUUGUCUUAUGUGGUACAUAUAUACGCCGGAGCAGACCGUUUUUUACCAUACCCUAUUCGAUAAGCAGCAGAGUAUGUAUACAUAAUAUAUACUACAGCUACGGAACAUUGAACCCAGCAUUGUCUAUUAUUUAUAACGACAAGAAGACCGAGAAAAUUGUACCGACACGGAUUUUACAUACGUAAUUUUAUAUUACCUAUUAUACCUAUGUAUAUCGCACACGGAUACCUAUGUAUAUACAAUCACCGGAGAAUUCAAUUUGCCCGUAAUUCGUGAACACGAGAAAAUUCGUCCCGAUUGUACGUAGGUAUAGGUAUAUAUAGGUACCCAGGUAUAUAUAAGUGAAUAAAUAACGCAUUUAUACUCACGCCGG